rnacentral:lncRNA from 1 species
GGGCAUAGGCCAGCAAUUAAAGUACUAUGUAAGUCAAUACUCCUCCAAAACUUUACCUUUCCAUACAUUGUUGGCCAUUUCCAUGCUUUGCAGACAUGCUGGGACCACAUACCAUGUUUAAUACAUAGUAACCCCCAGUCUCUGAGUCUGGGAGACACUCAGCUCAUUUUCCCCUCUAAAGCAAUAGUCUGGCAGCUCAGCUGGUUUCUAACAUUACUUCAACACUUUGUGCCACUGUUAAAAUUUUUCAGUGCAUUCAGGUAUUGGAAGCUGGCGGCAAGGUUUGAAAUUUGCAGUCUAAAGCUCCCUGACCCCUGUGUUUUCUGUCCCAUUACACAAAAGAAGUACAGUGGGACGAGUGGACUUGGUCUUUCUAUGAAAAUAUCCAUAUUGGUUCUAAUGAAGAAUCUUGUCAUUGGUUUUUGAUCCAGUUUCACUGAUUCCAUCUGGGCUAAGUGCCUACCUGUCUCAAGAUCCUUAUGGAGGUAAGGAUAUAUAAGGGUUACAGAAGAGAAGCAUUUUUGGUAAUAUAUUGUCUUGAUUCACAGAACAAACAAAAUGGCUGCAGGUGAAGAUUUUCACAGCUUGCGUUAAGUGUUAAUUAGAACCAGUUAGAAGCCUUGCCUGUGAGAAAUGCUUGUUUAAUUUAAAUACCUGUGCAGAGAAACUGGUCCUUAUCAGUUAAAGCCAUGGCUGGCACCCAGCCAUCAGGAAACCCCAAAACGCAGCUGUUCCUUUGGACUUUUGACCAAAACAAAGUCACCCCCUCACACCUAGUUAAUGUAAGCAUAGAUUCCUUUUGUGCUUCAGCCCAGUGGAAAUUUUCAUUCCUCUAUUAAGCAAAAACAGUUUCCUGCUACCUAUUGUCAGCAUCUCUCAUUUUUGGCUAUUCUAUAAACCUGUCCUCCAUUCACACACGUAGUUAGGUUGGAAAUGUCAAGGGACCACAGUGAGAUGUUUACGAAAUUCCAUAAAAAUAUGCUUUCACAAAACUGAGGUUUAUUGGUAUUCCAGAGGAGCUGGUAAUGACUUCUUUUCCAUCGGAGUCUGCUCCUCGCCCCCUCCCUCUCACCUUGAACUUUUGCUUGAGUCUAGGAAUCAAUUUUGUCUAAUUUCCAAAUGUUGCUUGUCAGUAGUUUGGCUGGAUUCAUUAUAUAUAUAUACCCAGAAUGGAAGGUAGGUUGGUGCAUCUUAAUGACAUAAACACCACCCUUAUCCUGACAAGCUUUUUCUCCCUUCCUGCUAUUUUGUUUUGUCAUUUCUUAGCAGAAUCAAGAGAUAUAAUAUUUUAUUAAAAUGAGGGGUUCUCUUAACAGGAUAUUGACCCUAAUGUCUCAUUUUAUGAUAAACUCUACUCAUCACAGGUAGGCAUUUGUUGGAACUCAUAUUUUUCAUGGUGUUCUAAUGAGUCAAAAGUGAUCCAGAA